rnacentral:lncRNA from 1 species
CAGGACUGAGCGACUUUCACUUUUUUUUUCUCUUUAACUAAAAAGGAUUAUCCUUGGUUUUUAUUUUUUUUCCAAAUCUUGGUUCUGACUCUACAUACAUGAGAAGAGAAAGUAAUCUGAGGAAAAAUAGUUGCUUUUCUCUUCCAGUAGAGUUCCAUGGUUGUGAACAGUCUCAAGCCCAAUCUCUGGCCUUAUUCCUAUGUUCUCAAGUCCUGGUUGUCUCCACAGAGUCCAUUUUCUAUGAUAUGCUGAAGUCAGUCAAUUGCACUUUUUCCCUUGCCAGAAGUCACACGGAACUAUUUCUUCUGCAUAUAUUACUUGUGAUCUUGAAAACAGCUGUUAUCUUCAUGCACAACUCUGAUCUCUCUGGAAAGAAUGAAUCAUCUAAGUCUCUGUCACAUAACUUCAGUAAGAGAGGCUCUGUCUCCCUGUGGCUGGUGAUAGGACUCUGAGCCUGAUCAAAGCAGAGCAAGUGAUCACUGAUAUUGGAUACCUGGUAUGCUGGGCCUACAAGCAUACACCCCUAACUUUAUAGGAGGAACAGUAUGGUAACAACUGCAAGGUGUGAUACCAUCGUUCAGCAACUGAAAUGUGACUUCCAAAUCAUGGAAAACAUUCUUUCAUAUCAACAUUGGACAACCUUAGUGUGAGCAGAUAUUUUUCUCAAAUACAUUAAUCAUCAGAUCAGAAGCAUCACUCCCUCAAUGUCAGAAUAUUGGAAGUUGGCUCCCAAUCACAAUUAAAUAAAAGUCCAAUAUCAG